rnacentral:rRNA from 1 species
UACGAAGGGGGCUAGCGUUGCUCGGAAUCACUGGGCGUAAAGCGCACGUAGGCGGAUUGUUAAGUCAGGGGUGAAAUCCUGGAGCUCAACUCCCGAACUGCCUUUGAUACUGGCGAUCUUGAGUCCGGGAGAGGUGAGUGGAACUGCGAGUGUAGAGGUGAAAUUCGUAGAUAUUCGCAAGAACACCAGUGGCGAAGGCGGCUCACUGGCCCGGUACUGACGCUGAGGUGCGAAAGCGUGGGGAGCAAACAGGG